rnacentral:rRNA from 1 species
GAUGAACGCUGGCGGCGUGCCUAAUACAUGCAAGUCGAGCGAACAGAUGAGGAGCUUGCUCCUCUGACGUUAGCGGCGGACGGGUGAGUAACACGUGGAUAACCUACCUAUAAGACUGGGAUAACUUCGGGAAACCGGAGCUAAUACCGGAUAAUAUAUUGAACCGCAUGGUUCAAUAGUGAAAGACGGUUUUGCUGUCACUUAUAGAUGGAUCCGCGCCGCAUUAGCUAGUUGGUAAGGUAACGGCUUACCAAGGCAACGAUGCGUAGCCGACCUGAGAGGUGGACCGCCCCCACUGGACCUGAGACCCGGUCAAGACCCCUACGGGAGGCAGCAGUGGGGAAUCUCCCGCAAUGGGCGAAGGCUUGACGGAGAAACGCCGGGGGGGUGAGGAGGUCCUCGGAUCGUAAAACUCUGUUAUUAGGGAAGAACAAAUGUGUAAGUAACUAUGCACGUCUUGACGGUACCUAAUCAGAAAGCCACGGCUAACUACGUG